GAUCAUGACUCAGGAUGAACGCUGGCGGCGUGCCUAACACAUGCAAGUCGAGCGAGAAGCUUAUGACGGACGCUUCGGUUGAAGUCACGAGUGGAAAGCGGCGGACGGGUGAGUAACGCGUAGGCAACCUGCCCCUUGCAGAGGGAUAGCCUCGGGAAACCGGGAUUAAAACCUCAUAAUACCGCAGUGAGACAUCUCACGGCGGUCAAAGAUUUAUCGGCAAAGGGUGUCGGCCUGCGU
rnacentral:rRNA from 1 species